rnacentral:lncRNA from 1 species
ACUGGUAGCAGCCCCUGGUAUAUCCAGGACAUCAGCACAUAGAACCAGUGAAAGGGUCCUCCCUCAUAGUGACGCAUGUCAUAGACUCAGAUUUAUACAAACAAAUGCUGAGCAAACCAUGAAGAGUCUCUGGUAUUUUCAACAAUAUCAUCACAGAGGAACUGUAUUGAUUUCCUUCCUUCAGUGGUCCAAGAACCUGCUGCUCCCGGGUCCUCUCAUUUGAAGACACCCACCGCCUAAGGAUGAAGAGAAGCUCCUUCUUGCAGAUCUGAGGCUGAUUUCCCAACUCCCAGGAACACCCUACCCACAGCCUGUUCCCCAGACCCAGAUGGGGUUUGCAGGAGCAAUGGCUGUAGGGACACUAAGAUUUCACCCUCCAGAAGACAGCAUCUUCCUGUGCCAUGGCUAGAUCACCAGCUACCCACAGACAGCCUGAACUCCAAUUGUCUUCCUGCACAUGUGCCUUUAAAGGAACUUUUCAAAUGUAGAGGAGCCUUUAGAAGGAAGCCUUGAGCAUGAGGACAGACCCCCCUCAUCCAACCACCACCUGACUCUGUGUGAACCUGGAACUGUUAGAAUGUCUGUGCUGUGAUAAAAGGUCAUCUCCCUACAAUGUUAUGAUACAGACCUCAAACCUACAAACAUGAGGAACUUCUGCCUCCAGGUUAACUGCUUACCCACUGUACAAGACACGUUACACACAGUCCAGGAGGCGGAGCUUCUGAGAUAUCUAGAAACAGCUUAGAGGCAAAAUGACAAAAUAAAGCAGCAACAACAAAUAAAA